rnacentral:rRNA from 1 species
UUCCGGUUGAUCCUGCCGGAAGCCACUGCUAUGGGGGUCCGACUAAGCCAUGCGAGUCAAGGGGGCGUCCCUUCUGGGGCGCCACCGGCGGACGGCUCAGUAACACGUCGGUAACCUACCCUCGGGAGGGGGAUAACCCCGGGAAACUGGGGCUAAUCCCCCAUAGGCCUGGGGUACUGGAAGGUCCCCAGGCCGAAAGGGAGCCGUAAGGCUCCGCCCGAGGAUGGGCCGGCGGCCGAUUAGGUAGUUGGUGGGGUAACGGCCCACCAAGCCGAAGAUCGGUACGGGCCGUGAGAGCGGGAGCCCGGAGAUGGACACUGAGACACGGGUCCAGGCCCUACGGGGCGCAGCAGGCGCGAAACCUCCGCAAUGCGGGAAACCGCGACGGGGGGACCCCCAGUGCCGUGCCUCUGGCACGGCUUUUCCGGAGUGUAAAAAGCUCCGGGAAUAAGGGCUGGGCAAGGCCGGUGGCAGCCGCCGCGGUAAUACCGGCGGCCCGAGUGGUGGCCACUAUUAUUGGGCCUAAAGCGGCCGUAGCCGGGCCCGUAAGUCCCUGGCGAAAUCCCACGGCUCAACCGUGGGGCUCGCUGGGGAUACUGCGGGCCUUGGGCACCKGGAGAGGCCGGGGGUACCCCCGGGGUAGGGGUGAAAUCCUAUAAUCCCGGGGGGACCGCCAGUGGUGAAGGCGCCCGGCUGGAACGGGUCCGACGGUGAGGGCCGAAGGCCAGGGGAGCGAACCGGAUUAGAUACCCGGGUAGUCCUGGCUGUAAAGGAUGCGGGCUAGGUGUCGGGCGAGCUUCGAGCUCGCCCGGUGCCGUAGGGAAGCCGUUAAGCCCGCCGCCUGGGGAGUACGGCCGCAAGGCUGAAACUUAAAGGAAUUGGCGGGGGAGCACUACAAGGGGUGGAGCGUGCGGUUUAAUUGGAUUCAACGCCGGGAACCUCACCGGGGGCGACGGCAGGAUGAAGGCCAGGCUGAAGGUCUUGCCGGACGCGCCGAGAGGAGGUGCAUGGCCGCCGUCAGCUCGUACCGUGAGGCGUCCACUUAAGUGUGGUAACGAGCGAGACCCGCGCCCCCAGUUGCCAGUCCCUCCCGCUCGGGAGGGAGGCACUCUGGGGGGACUGCCGGCGAUAAGCCGGAGGAAGGGGCGGGCGACGGUAGGUCAGUAUGCCCCGAAACCCCCGGGCUACACGCGCGCUACAAUGGGCGGGACAAUGGGACCCGACCCCGAAAGGGGAAGGGAAUCCCCUAAACCCGCCCUCAGUUCGGAUCGCGGGCUGCAACUCGCCCGCGUGAAGCUGGAAUCCCUAGUACCCGCGCGUCAUCAUCGCGCGGCGAAUACGUCCCUGCUCCUUGCACACACCGCCCGUCACUCCACCCGAGCGGGGCCCAGGUGAGGCCCGAUCUCCUUCGGGAGGUCGGGUCGAGCCUGGGCUCCGUGAGGGGGGAGAAGCCGUAACAAGGUAGCCGUAGGGGAACCUACGGCUCGAUCACCUCCU